CAAGACGUAGCUUAACUAAAGCAUUCAGCUUACACCUGAAAGAUGUCUGUCAACCACAGAUCGUCUUGA
rnacentral:tRNA from 1 species